GACAGAGGGUGCAAACGUUGUUCGGAAUUACUGGGCGUAAAGCGUGCGCAGGCGGUUGUGCAAGACCGAUGUGAAAUCCCCGGGCUUAACCUGGGAAUGGCAUUGGUGACUGCACGGCUAGAGUGUGUCAGAGGGGGGUAGAAUUCCACGUGUAGCAGUGAAAUGCGUAGAGAUGUGGAGGAAUACCGAUGGCGAAGGCAGCCCCCUGGGAUAACACUGACACUCAUGCACGAAAGCGUGGGGAGCAAACAGG
rnacentral:rRNA from 1 species